GAUCUGGCUCAGAUUGAACGCUGGCGGCAGGCCUAACACAUGCAAGUCGAACGGUAACAGGAAGAAGCUUGCUUCUUUGCUGACGAGUGGCGGACGGGUGAGUAAUGUCUGGGAAACUGCCUGAUGGAGGGGGAUAACUACUGGAAACGGUAGCUAAUACCGCAUAACGUCGCAAGACCAAAGAGGGGGACCUUCGGGCCUCUUGCCAUCGGAUGUGCCCAGAUGGGAUUAGCUAGUAGGUGGGG
rnacentral:rRNA from 1 species